UACGGGGGGGGUAAGCGUUGUUCGGAAUUACUGGGCGUAAAGGGCUCGUAGGCGGCCAACUAAGUCAGACGUGAAAUCCCUCAGCUUAACUGGGGAACUGCGUCUGAUACUGGAUGGCUUGGAUUUGGGAGAGGAAUGCGGAAUUCCAGGUGUAGCGGUGAAAUGCGUAGAUAUCUGGAGGAACACCUGUGGCGAAGGCGGCUUUCUGGACCGACAUUGACGCUGAUGAGCGAAAGCUAGGGGAGCAAACGGG
rnacentral:rRNA from 1 species